ensembl:lncRNA
GGGGAUAGAACCUGGGCCCCCUCCAUCGAGAGCACGGAGUCUUAGCUGCUGGACCACCAGGGGAGUCCCCAGAAGUACCAAGUCUUAACCUAUCUUUGCUGCUUCCUCACUGAGUGAUUUCUGUCUAUCACAUGGCAUGAUGGAAGCUGGGAGUCAUGAGGAAAGGUGGACAUGGAAAUCCAUCCCAAGCAAAAUGCUACCUUUAGACACUCGGCCUUUCAGAGUUUGAAGUAACUUUAGAGAUUAUCAGUCUGCUUCCCUCAUGUGAACACUGAAGGGGACGGAUGUGAAGUCACCUGCCCCGGGUGGGUCCCAGGAAUGCCCCUUGCGCCUCCAGUGUGCUGUCUGCUGUUCUGUGCAGCCAUGUGCCAGUUGGCAAAUGAGGCCCUGAGUGAGAAGACGGAGCCGGAAUUGGAUGGUUCUGUGUGGCCGAUUCACCCCAGGCCUAGCCACCACCGAGGCCAGUCUCCAGAAACCAGCACGCUCUUCCCUCGCGCUGUUCCCCGAGAGCCCCACCAGGAGGCGCCCUUUGCCCGCCGAAGCGGGCCGGGCUCGAACUCCUCCGGGCCGGGGUGGGCACCCCUUUGCGCAGGGCGGUGCUGGGUGCGGGUUCGCCCGGGGUCCCCCUGAGGUCGAUCCAGCGCAGCGCCCGCACCGCGUCCUGCGGCCGCUUGGUCGCGCGCGCCCCCCGCGACCCUGCGUGCAGCUGCGGCCCCGGCCCCGCGCCUCUCGUUCGGCCUCGGUCCCCGGGGUGGCGGCAAGUUUGCUUACGGUCGCUCGGGCCCCUCGCCGCCGCUCUCCUCCGGCGCCUGGGCCCCGAGCGCGCCGGGCGAGAGGGCUACGAGGGCGGGCGGGCGGCUCGGCGCUCGGGCCCCGAAGGGGCGCCCCCCCGGCCGGCGUGCGCGGGCCGCCGUAGUUCCCGCGCUGCCCGCCGGGCGGCGCCGCGCGCCUCGGCCGCGCUCCUCCCGCGCUGCCGGCUCCUCGCUCGCUCGCAGCCGGACACAGACUCUGCCUUCAGCUGCCGGCGGAUCGCGCUGGAGCCGCCGCGGCGGCUGCGGAAGAACGAAAAAAAAAAAAAAAAGGAAAACAACAGCCCGGCGGCCGGCGGAGCAGCGCCCGGCCCGAGCUCAGCCCCCGGAGUGCGGAGCCGCCCAGGUUCGCUUCUCCACUCCCCAAACUGCUGAGUGGCAUGAAGUCACAGGGAGGCCUGGCUUCCUCCUCCUUUCCAGUCUCCUGCGAGUGAGCUCAGAUGGCCCCGAGCCCCUUUCGCCCUCCUUUCAGAUGAGGAAUAUCUGCUGGGUUUGAGGGUGCGGCAGGAAGACUGCAUCCACAUUGCUACCCAGUGUCGCAGAAGGAAGGGGGGUGUCCACGGAGGUCCGCUGGACGGAGUGCUUGCUUCAGCUGCCUGGGGGGCCCGAGAUGGUUCUCUGCAGCCCAUGUGUCCUUCAGCGCACACACACUUGGGUCAAAGUGCAGGUAGCCAAUGACCAUGCGCUAUCUCCUGGUCUUUCCCAUGACUCCACGUGUCACUCCUGCAAAUGGAGACAUUUCCAGCCUCAGUCUGAGUUUCUGGUGGUUUUUGCUGGCGGGGAUUCUGAAUGCAGAGCCCGUC